rnacentral:lncRNA from 1 species
AACAUAAUUCAAAGAAAAACAACCGAUUUCAAAGGGCUCCCUAUUUGGGGAUAAACCGGACUUACUACUCGGGAUUCAUGGCUAAGUGGCGGUGAAACCGAUUACACGGAUAUAGGUAAGGUUAGGGAUGCCGGAGAUUUGUGGUUUUCCGGCGAGGACGUGGCCGGAAUCUGGAUCGUGACGUGUGAGAGAGGGAUGAGAGACGAGAGCAGGAGAGGGCUGAGAGAAAGAGAGAUUUGAAGCGAAAGUCCGAAUUCUAAAAUGACCCGAAAAUGUCGGACUCAUUAAUAGAAAAAGAGGUGGGGAGAGAGGUGACGUAGCCACAAGGAAUUCAUGCUUGCCACGUGUUGCCCACUCUUCUGCAAUUACCAUAUUGGCCUUCCUCCUUCCGAAUUUACAAUUUACCCUGCCUUUUCAUCCUUGAAGAAAAAAUCAAAAUUCUCUUAAUAUUAUGGGAGAUUUUAUUUUAUUUUUAUUUAUUAAAAGGAAAAAUGUUGAUUCGCAUUUAUGGACGUGAUUUCAAUGAAGAAGAAAAAUUAGACCUACUAUUUAUUGUGCUUACGUGGAAAAGCAAUUUAAGUGACAUAUUUUUUAUUUUAAUAUUUUUAAUUACAAUUUUACACAUAAUCAAUUAUCCCCAUGUUUUCAUAAUUAUUUUAUUUUUCAUUAUAAUUAAUUUUUAAAUAUUAUUUUCAUUCUUAAAUUCAAAUUAAAAGUUUCAUAUGUUGUAGAUAAUUUCAAGAUAUAAAAUAAAUUAUCUCACUUAUGUUUUAACACUUUUUUGUUUUUAAAAAUAUGACUUUGUUUAAUAAUAUGAUUUAAAAAUAGUUUUCUAUUUUUAAAAUUUUUUAUUAUUGUUUGAUCGUUAUUCUUUGAAAAAUAUUUUUAAAAAUAAAGUAAAAUAAAGAAUAAUUUUUAAAGAAUAAAUAGAAAUUGUUUUCAUCAAUUUUUAAAAAUAAAAGGAUAAUAUUAAUAUGUUUGAAUAUGUUUUUUAAAACUUUUUUUAAAACUGUGUUUUUAUUUUUUAACUUAAAAUUAUGUAAAAAAAAAAAAUCAAAAAACAUGUUCAAACUAGUCCUUGCUUUUAAAAAUAAAGGAUUUCUAAUAUCUCAAAAAUUUUGACCAAGUUUUUAAAAUAUUAGAUUUCAUAUUUUUUGAAACUUGUUUUUUAUUUUAUAACUUCAAAACAUAUUUUAAAAACAAAUUUUAAAAAAAUACGAUUAAACGGACUCAUAUUUUCCUUUUAUUUUUAAAAAUUAGUAAAAACAACUUUUUUCUCUAAAUUUUUUUCUCUAUUUCACUUUAUUUUAAAAAUUUGUUUAGAGAGAAUAACAAUUAAAUAGUAUUAGAAAAUUUUAAAAAUAGUUUUUUGUUUUUUUGUUUUUUUGUUUUAAAUCGUUUUUAAAUCAUAAGGCCAAACAAUUCUUAGAUACAAAAUAGAAAAUUCUAAUCCGUCACCACUCACUAGCACCCCCAUUUCCACCACCACUAAAUUAUAUCGAUUGAUUAUGAGGGUUGGUUAAUGGGUGGUGUGGAUUCAAAAUUUUCUCCAAGGACCUCAAAAUAAUUAUAUUUUGAUUUAAAUUAUUUAAUUAGUACAAUUUGAAAAAACGUAAAUUAUUUAAAUCGGUAUUUUUAUUUUAGUAUUAGUUUCAUAUUGAAGUUAAACCAGAUCAAUUAUAUAUUCAAUAUAAUUUGUAUGUAUAAUUUUACUUCGUUUUCAAAUUAGACUAAUAUAUAUUAUUUUUACAAUAUGAAUUAGUGCAUAUGAUAUUAUUGUUGACCGUCACGAAUUAUAUCUUAUAUUGAUUUAUCCAACAAAUCAACUAUAAUAUGUAUAUUAUUGUUCUUUUUAGUUACUUUUUAAAUAUAUUUAUGAGUUUCAAACAAUUUUUAUCACAUCGGCAUUUUUUAUCCAAAUUUUCAUCAUUAUUUUUUGAUACUUUUAUAAAAUCAAAUUACUGACAUGCGUAUUGUAAGGUGGUAUUUGAUUUCAAGAAACUACUAAAAAAAUAAAAAAUAAUUUUCUUGUAUUUGACUUCAUUAUGAAAAUAUGACUAUAUAUAAGUAAAAUUAUUUCAAAAUUUAUAUAUUUUUAAAUUAUUUAAUCUUAAAUUAAAAUAACUGACAUAAUUUUAAAAUAACAUAUAAAAAUAUUUCAUUAAUUUUAUUUUCUUAAUUUUUAAUUUUCUUUCUAUUUUUUUCUCACUUUUUUCUUAAUUAUUUCAAGAAUCAUAAUAAUUUUAAAAAAUUAAAAAAUUAAUUAAGAUUUUCAUAGGAAUUUGUAAAAUAACUUUUUUAUUUGUAAUUUGAUAAGCAACUUUGUUCUUCUUAUUAUCCUUAUCAUAAUUUUUGACACAAUUAAAUACUAAACUUUCAACUUUAAGUCUUUAACACGCAUUACUCAAUCACCACGGAUUAAACCUUAUUAAUUUCAAAUAAGAAAUUAAAAUUAAACAGGACGCAAAAACCCAAUGGGCAUGACAUUUUGUACGGCUGGUGAAAGGGUAUUUGAGUAAUUUAACAUAGAAGAAUUGUCCUCCACGCCCAUUCGGUCUACCAAGCAGAAAAGCCAGUUGUUUCAUGGCUGCUUCUCGGCACAGACGUGUGUGAUUGAAUGAGAUGCGCAUGGAGGACGCUUGCCUCAAACGAUUGGGAGCGCGUAUGCACCACAAAUUUAUUCAAAUAUUUUAUUAUUUUAAUAAAAAAUCAUAAUUCUGUUUUAAAGAAGAUUAAAUAGUCUUUAUUGAUAAAUUGUACUUAAUCAUAUCAUUAAAGUUUGAAAUAAAUUUUAAUAAUUAUAAUAUUUAAAAAUAAAAAACUUCAUAAUUAAAUUUAGAAUCAAUUUAAUAGCUUUUAAAAAAAAUAAUUUUGAAUCUAAAAGUUUUUUUUUUAAAUUAGAUAUUUAAUAAAAUUUUGAAAAAUAUUUUUAAGAUUUUGAAAAAUCUUCAUUUUCAAGCUUCCACAUCAGGUUGAGAAUUGUAACGACCAAUAUCCAAAUGUGUAGAUAUUAUUCGUUUUGAAUGCAAAAAGGAAUUUAUCACAUUUAGUAAAAUAUUUUUAUUAAAAAUACUUUGAAUAAAAUUUUAUAUUAAUGUUUUAUAUUAUUAAAAUAUUUAAAAAAUAAAAGAAAAUUUUCAAAAAUGAGAUGGCGCGUGGGGGCUAGAUUACUAAGGAGAAAAGGGUGAAAAAUGGGUGGGCGGAAGUUCUAGAAUAAUGGCGUACGGUUUGUGAGGUACGCAUCCGAAGCCGUGGGGUGGGGAUUCGGGAAUUGGAAAGGGACUUACGGCUUUGUGUUUCUCUCGUGCCUUCACAUGAAAGAAACCUUGGACCCAUGGAUACAAUCUGAUUAAUGAUUUGUCUCUCAUGAUAUGAUCCGUUUAAACUGAUUAUUUUAUAUCGUAUUACUCGUUAGAAUUAAAUUUAUUAACAUGAUUAUAAUCAAUUUACCUUAUUUAAAGUUUUAAUUUCACACUUAUUUGUUAUUUAAUUUUUUUUUAAUUAUAAAAUAUUUUAAUCUUUUUAUAAUCGAAUGUGUAAAACUUUUUUUUGUUUAGUUGUUUAAUUUUUUAAUUAUCUUAUGUGUAUAAUUUAAAAUAUAUUUUUAGUUCUUAUGAUUUUAAAUGUAUAAAUUUAAUAAACUCGUAUGGGUUAAACGGAUUAUAAUUGUAAAAGAUAAUUAUUUAUAAUAAUUUUUACCAAUUUAUAUACAUGAAAACUAGGUAUAUAAAGAAUAUUAUUCAAAAUAAUGUUACGUGUUAAUUUGACAUUAUCAUUGAGUAAUAAGGGCACCGACUCUGUUUGGUAAUUUGACCAUUUUUGAAUGAGUGGAUAGUAUGUAACAAAUAAAAAAAUGGAAGGAAUCAAAUCAACGAUCACUCCAAAUAAGUCAUUUAAGAGGUUGAAUGUGAAGAAAAAUUAGUAUUAAGUGUAAUACCUACGAAAUUGCUCUAUGAAAGGUGAUUACAUAUAAGUUUUGAUCUUGGUUGAGAGUUGAUCAAAGUCAGAAUUUGUCUAACACUAUUCCAGCGUAAAGAAAAAGUUUGAUGAGAUUGAUGAAAAAAUAAAAAUUUGACAAGUAAAUNNNNNNNNNNNNNNNNNNNNNNNNNNNNNNNNNNNNNNNNNNNNNNNNNNNNNNNNNNNNNNNNNNNNNNNNNNNNNNNNNNNNNNNNNNNNNNNNNNNNUUACACAAAAAUUAUAAUCGAGUUUCGAGUUAAAAGGAUUUGACUUUGAAAAUUUGUUUGUAAGACGAUUCUCUUUUGGAGCCAGUGUAACAAAAAUCCUUUAGGGGGUGUUUGGUACAUCGGAAUAGGGAAUGAAAAUAAUAUUUUGUUUCCUUUCCUAUUUCUUAGUGGAAUGGAAUGAAUUUGAUGAUUCCAUUUCUAGCAUUUGGAUGAACUUAGGAAUGCAAGAUUGGAAUGAUUAUUUGUUUCCAUUCCAAUAUUUGAUAAUAAUAGGAAUGGAAAUGAAAAAGAAAUAAAUUUACAAUAAUAUCCUUACAUAUAAUUUAAAAUAUUUUUUUAUUUUUACUUUUAUUUUAAAAAAAUAAAAUUUGAGAGGUUUUUUUAUAUUAAAUAAUAAGACUAAAAAAUAUAUAUAUACUCAAUAAAUAAAAAAUUAACCAUAAAAAAUCGUAUAACCCUAAUGCACAAAUAUUGAAUUAUUAUUUUUAUUAAAAAUUUGAAUAAUUUAUCAUGCUUAAGUAGUUAUAAAAUUAUAUUUUUCAAAAAAAAAAUUAUUUAUUAUAAUAUUUAAAUUCUCAAAGCUAGCAAAUGUUUAUCCUAUUUUUAAAAGAGGAAAUAAAAUAAUUCAAAUUUAUUCUAAUUUUCAACAAGUAUCAUAUCCGAUAAAAUCCAUAACCUUAAAAAAUUUUAAAUAUUUGUUUUUUUUAUCAAAAUUUUAAAUAAUUUGUCAUGCAAAAAAAGCUAUAGAAUUAUAUUUUACUAAGAAAAAAAAGAGAAAAAAAUAUAUAAGAACAUAUAAAAGUUUUGUUUUUGUUUGUUUUUUUCUUUUUAUAUUUUUCCUAACCAUUAAAAAUUUUCAAUAUUGUAAACACAUGAAAUCGAAAAAUCUUUUUUCAACCAUUUCAAUUUUUCUCUCCAAUUUCCAUUAAUACAAGAUAAAGAAACAUCAAAGAUUCCAAACAUAAAUUAAUAAAAAAAAAUUAAUCGAUUUAUAGAAAAGAAGAAACACAUAUAAAGAAGUAGAAGAAGAAAGAGAAAAUAAGGUAAACCUGAUCGAAGAUGUAGAAGGGAGUUUUCAGAACCUAGUUGCAGCAAACAAUGACGAAUCCUAGAUCCAAUAAUCAAAAUGAACAUCCAAAACCCUAUAAAUUAGAAAUUGAUUUUUUUUUUUUAAAUAUCGUGGAAGGUUUAAUUGAUUCAAUUUAGAAGAAUCACUUGUUGAAGAGAAUUGGAUGAUGGGUGGGUCUCUAGCUUUGCAAAGAAGAUAAGAAGUGGAUGAUGAAUGAAUCUCUACCUUUACAAAGAAGAUAAACAUCAGGUUUGAAGAACAAGAUAAGAGGGUAAAAUAGUAAUUUAGGUUAUUUUAUAUUAUCAAAUAAGUUUAAUGAAUCAGAAUACCACCUACUUUUAAUGAAUGCAAAUCCGACUCAUAAGUUGGAUUUGAUUUCUACUGGAAUAAUUUUUUAUUUCAUUUCCGUCUUCUUAACAUUUAUCCAAACAUAGGAAUAAAGGAGAAAAGGAAUGAGAUGUCUAUUCCCACUCCCUAUUCCCGUGUACCAAACACCCCCUUAGAGAUUGCGGACUUGCAAUCCCACAUUGUCUUUCUUCUUACAAUAGUAGAGAAAAGAUCUUACUUACAAUUAGAAUUCGAUUCAUCAACCAUAGAUGACCAUGCACAACUCUAUAAGUCUCAUUCAAACACAAUAAAAUUUACAUAAUAUAGUCUCUCUCGGUAUAUGCCUCCACAUUUUAUUUGAUUCACAUACACAAAUUGAAAGAAGAGAGUAAAAGUUUAAUUCAUCCUAUAAAAGUCUUUGAUUUCAAAUAAUAUGUUAUAACAUAAUUUUGAUAUUGUGAUACUGAACUAGGUAACUAACUCUUCAUUAGAUUUCAAAAAUACAAGGUCUAUUGAGUUGAAGAAACUUUCUUCUAAAUCAAUUCGUAGGUCUCUUGUCAUGUUUACACAAAUAGCAUCUCUUAUAAGUUCCUUGCUAGCGUUUAUGAUCCAUGAGGUGACAAUGUUGAGAGACUUGGUUUCGAUAAAUCCAAACUUGUUCUUUACAUGAUAGCUUUGAUUAUGAAAUAGAAAAUGUACCAUGAUUAUCUAAAGGGUGCAAAAAGGAAACAUUUUUGGUAUCAUUAAUCAAGAGACAACUCAUAUCUUUAAUAAGUUAAAUAAAUUGAUUAAUUAUGACACCAUCACAAUUACACCUAAUAAUUCAUGUUGUGUGAAAAUAGUCACCCCUAAGAUUAGGAGGACGAGUAUAGAGCUAAAGUCUAGAUGAAUAGUGAAGUAAAUAGAAAAUCUAUCAUACUCACAUGAUUAGAUCCAAACAAUUAAUCAAAGAAAUGUUAAAGCUCACUCACAUGAAUUAUUAUCAUGCUUUAAAAAAAAUAAAAAUAAAAAUGGCAAAGUGUGAAAUUAAUAUCUUUCAUGGUCUCUAAAAUUGACCCAUUUUAAGUAAAUAAUUGAAAAAAAAAUUAAAAUAUGCCAUCAGAUAUGCCUUUUCCUUUGAAAACAAAAUUUAAAAAUCUUAUGAUCAAUUCAUUUUACUCGAGUUAAGGAUAGUAAUAGGUGAGUUCCGGAAAAUGUUCAAAAUAAUUAUCAUCCCCAUUGCAUUUAACUUUUUUUUUAAUUAUUUAUUUAAUUACAUUAAAAUAAAUAUAUUUUAUAAAUAAUUAAACUAUUAUAAUUUUUUAUAACUUAUUUUAUUAAAAAGUAUUUUAUUGUUAUGUAUACAUAAUGAAAAUAGAAAAAUAAAAAUUAAAUUAAAUUAAUUUUAUAUAUAAUCGGGUAAGAUAAGGUGAGACAAGAUAAUACUUGAAACAACUUCAAGUUUAAAAGAAGAAAAUCCUAAACCCAUCCAUAACUCAUUUAUUUAAAUUUCAAACCCAUCGUAUUGGAGACAGAAUAGAACGAGUAUCCGAAAAAACUCUCAAUUGUCAUAUUUGCAAAUGCAAAAAGUACAUUUAUUAUCCAAGUUAGAAAACUGUUAUAUUUCAUAAUUAUAUAUAAAAUUCACAAAAAUAAAAAAAAAUUGAUAAGGUUAUAUUUUGAAAUUAUUUGAAAAUUUUUAUUAUAAAAUUAUUAAUUCAAAGUUGAUUUUAUCCGAGUUUAAAUCAUAGUGAAAAAAAAAACAUUUUUUUAUAAUUUUAUGAGAGGAUUUAUAGAUAAUGUUAAUUUUAAAAAAAAAAACAAAUUAGAGAAUAAAGUGGUAGAAUUUUGAAUAGGACCAGGCAAAGUAUAAUGGAUGUAAAAGAUUGACAGACAAGGGUAUAUAUAAUCCAAAGUUUAAAGUCCUCCUUGGAAAGCGGUGGAACGAUUGAACGACGCGGUUUUGAUCAUGUUGACUGGCACCCGCAGAGGGUGAAGAAACGACAUCGUUUUGUGAGGGCAGUUGUUGUGAAACGCUGUCGUAUUAGUUUCAGUGGCCGGCAGCUUCUCGUUCAGUUAAAAUCCCACGAAGUCUCUCUCCAAAGCUUACUGGUGGGUGGUGACUUGUUAGUUAAUGCUCCUCUUAUCUUCCUCUCUAAAUUCCCAUUCCAGGCCUCCACCUUUCCCAUACUUUCUCCCCACUUUCUCGGGAAAAUCUCUACAUCCGCUCUCUUUCAACCAUGCACCGAAUAUCGAGCGCAACCCGCGUCUCCGAUGAGUUUUUCAACUCAACAACUUCACCAUCAGCAACCCCAGAUGCAGACCAGUUACCCACUUACGAUCCUCUCUCACAUGUGGCCAAGAAAGAGAGAACCCGUAUUAGAUCUGCCGAAAACGCCAUCCACGCAAUACCCGUUGUGCUCCUUCUCUGCGUCAUGACUCUCUGGUUCUUCUCUAAUCCAGGUCAAUAUUCUCAAUCACCCAUGUGUUUAACUCUUCAUUGGUAUGCUUGUAGAAAAACCCUUCUGCAUACGUGUUCGUUUCUCAUCCUAUAACACUAUUUAUUCGAGUGAUCGCUCCAAGAGAUCAAUACUUUGUUUAGAGCUUCUGCUUCUAUGCGUUAAUCUGGGUAAAAGUAGCAAUUUAUCAAUGACCCAACUAGCAAUUGCCCAUUUCUCACACUGUUUGAUGGAUUGGACUAUGAAGAGUUAGAUUGCCAGAAAAUCUACAUACUGAAUUAUUACAGUUUUCUCUUAUUUGGGUGUUGUUUGCUUGAGGGAAAUUUUGAAUUUUUUGGUUGGUUUUAUGCAUGCUUGUUCCUUGCAUCUUCGCCUGUUCAGGUUCAAAAACACAACCCUUUUAUUGAUAUUGUUAUUGGAGGAUCCAUAGCUUUCUCCCUGAGGUAUAUGUUAGAUUAUAAGUCGAAGUCUGGAAAUUUUGUUCACUUACCUAUGUCAGGGCUUGGAGAAAAUGAAAGGAAAAGAAAAUAGAGAAGAAAAAGAGAGAGAAAAAAAAAGACUACAAUGAAAAAUAGAUCUAAAAGUUAAUAAAUUAUGUUUUAAUGUCUUCAAACAUAUUUCAAAUAUUUCUAUCUUUUCCAUAUAGAGAUUAAAUAGCUUGAAAAUGCAUAAAAUCUAAUUUUAGAUAUAUUUGAUUUUCUUUGUGUUUUUUUAGGGUAAACCAAAUAUGAAAAGAAAAAAAAAUCCUUUUUUCUUAAUACAUUUUUUCCCCUUUUCUUGAUACUUUCCAGAAUCAAACAGAGCGCUAUUUGUAUUUAUUAGAGGUUAAACAUUGAAGCUUUUCAAAGAUCCUAUUUCUUAUUUCUUCCUUUGGAAUCAUAUACUUUAUCUGUUUAAGAGAUGUAAUGAACAAUUCAGAUAUUUUCAGUUCUUUGGUAUCAUAUACUUAAUCUGUUUAAGAGAUGUAAUGAACAUGUGGUCUGUUACUUCUGUUUUCUGUGUUCACUUUUUCUGGGAAUACUUUUAACUUAUUAUCAUCCUAUGAGGGUAAUUUCUAUUUUGUUCCGUUUUGCUCAUCGUAUACCAUAAUCCUCAAAUUUUCCCUAUUUCUGAACUAUGGUCAAGGAAAAGUGGAAGUAAAAAACAUCAUAUAGCGUUUAUACUUUGUUGCUGUUGCCUUUUUGAUACAGCAGUUGAUAUUGUCAAUAAGGGUGCUUCAAUUGUUCCCAGACAGAAGGGUUUGACGGUGAUUGGCAACAUCAAGAGUGACCCUACACAGAACGGAUUGCUAAAAGAUUUGGAGCAGGACUCAGAUCCUACAAAAGAGUUUCUGCAUCAGAAAGGCCCAAAAUCCACUGAGAAUGAAUCGUAGUAAGAUUUUUCUUUAAUGUCAAGAGCUCUGGUGUAUGGUCACCAUGUUGUUUUAGAAAAAGGAUUUACUCCAUCUUUCAUUCCAUUACUUCCGUCAUGAUAGGUAAGCCACAAGCUCUGUAACAUGAACAUGCCGAGAGAAAAUCUUGGGUUUUUCUUAAUUUAUGUUUCCUUAAUUUAUGUUGUAGCACUUCAAGUUGUAUAGUUUCUUUCAUAAUCAGUUUUUUGUCGACUGUUAAAGAACGGCCAAGUUGAGUGUAUGGCAUGACAGACUCUCCUUGUAUGUGUUCCCUUUCCCUGAAAUCUGGUUUACUCUGUUUGCUAUAUAAGCUGUAGUGGAGGCUCAUCAACUACCAGGUUAAAUGUUAACAACAUUAUUGUAUGACUCAAUUCUGUCAAUGAAAGCAGGCUUUGAGCUUGUCUGUCCUCUUCCAAAACAAGGAACUGAAGCAGUGUCCUUCCCCAAUUCAAACAGACAUGGCAGAUUAUUUAUGCAUGUUGAGUGUAUAGAAUAGGUUUUCCUUCCUUGCUGCAAUUUCAUGAAACCAUCUCCAUGGCUUCAUGCUGAUAAUUUUGUAGUUUGACUUUGAGGAACUCAUAACCUUUGCUAUCCUAAUCUAGUAUAGGGAAGCCAUAUAAAGUUGGUAUAACAAUUAACUUCAUGUCUACUGAACUCUCGUCCAAGUAUACAACAUAAUACAACUUUUGUCUGCAGGAUUCGAAACAAUGUUAUAUCUGUCCUGAAUAUAAAAGACGCUGAGGUGCCUUUACAUUGAGUUACAGAUCUUUUAUAUAAGUGUAUUUCUUUGGCCUGAAAUUCUCUGCCAAUUAUAGAGGCUCAAACUCAAAAUUGGUAUGUUCCAAUAGUGGUCCAAGCCUAACCAGCUUAGGUACGAUGACAUUGUUCCUGACAGAACACACAACUGGGUUGUCCCACUGCAGGAGUGAUCCCACAAGAUUUGCACGCAUCGUUAAUGGAAAGAUACGAGGCCACCUUUCGCUUCCAUACAAUCUGAGUGCACCUUCCACAGAUUCGGGCCCUAACCUGAGUGCAUCUGAGAGCUUUUUUGCGAGAACUACUGCAUCUUCCAAUGCACAACAAGCGCCUUGCCCAAGAUUGGGAGUCAUUGGGUGCCAAGCAUCCCCGACCAGCACAACUCCACCUGAUGAGGCGGGAGGGCUUAUGGCAGGCCACAGCCACCGGUCUACCAGGGGAGUUCUAAUGAUUGUGUCAUCUGGUGUCAGAUCUAUGAUGUUCAACAGCUCUGAAGGCCAGUUUCUAACCAGUUCUCUAGCCUGCUUCUUCAGCACUGAUGGAUCAGUUAUCUUUGGACCUAAAAAGCAGACGAACACAUACCCCAGACUGUCAGAACAAUUUUGAUUGUGGGUCAAGGGAGUAAUGCAUGAAUAUGUUGUUAGAAAUACCUGGGGAUGGGCUGUUGAAGCAGAUGAACCAAUAAACUUUUGUUGGAGAAACAGGAACAUAUCCAGCACGUAAUCCCCUUCCAUAGACGUAGUUGACCUUUGGUUCAUAUGGCAUUCUCUCAGGAAAAAAUCCAAGCCCACGGAAAGCACAGUGCCCCACAUACCUAGGCUCAGAAAACCCCAUCCACUUCGCUACCGGAGAGCGUAUCCCAUCACAGCCAAUCACAAUCUGUUAAGCAAGGUCUAGAUGAUCAGAUCAUCAAACAAACCCACAAUUUCAUUGUUCAGUUGACAGUCACAACAAAAUGAUAAAAUAUAAAAUGACAGAUUUAACACUUUCUAUUUUGUUCCUCCAAAUGGAAAAGAGAAGGGUGAAUGCAAGCUAUGUUGCAGAGCAACCUUAACCAGCCCUUCUAUUUGAAGCGGGUUACCUUCCCACUCAGUCGGGUUCCAUCCUCAAGUUCCAACAACGUUUCACCCGUCUCAAUUCUUUCAAUCUUUGCCAGCUUUGAAGAAAAGUGAAUUGAAUCUGUUGGCAAUUGAUUAGCAAGAGUCUCCAAAAGUAUUCUCCUCUCCACCGCGCGGACCUCUUGGCUGUGUAGCAUCACAUAGUUAAUGGAGAAAGAAGAAAAGUUUGUACAUGGCGAAGUCAAAGUGGAAGAAAAAAAACAAAUUGUUUUGCAGAAUCAAGGACAAGCAGAUAUGACUGGAAUUCAUUACCUUUCAUCUUCAUCUUUGAACCUGAAGGAGCGCAGCUCCCUACCAUCUUCUGAUUUUACCACCAUCCUGCACAGCUGAUACCAUGAAACAGUUCAGGAGUAAAAAACCGAAAGGAUAAGCCUUUGCUUCAAACUUCGGUUAACUUCCAUAAAAUUUCUGUACUGCAAAGGAGAAGCAUUUCUGUACUAAUCACAUUGGAAGAAAAAAAUAUGCUAGCUAGUGGGGCUCAUAAAUUAUAUACUUGUUAUCAUAUUCCUCAGCAAUUUCAGACUAAUUGGAUGCCCUAAAUUUCAAACUAGCCACAUUGCAGUUAGAACUUCUCACAGAUACUUGAAGCUUCCAUGGAAUUCUCUACUACCAGAAGAAGAAAAUUUACCCUUGGAUUUCAAGGAAUUGGCUCCUGAGAUCAUUUCCCACUCCCAUUGCAUCUAAUACUCCCCACCCAUUCUUGAAGAGGGUGAGUGAGGUUCCACCAGUGCGAAGUGACUCUGCCUGCUCAAGCACCAACGACCCGACUCCGAGCCUAAUCCCAUAAUAACAAAUUUCAUCAUCAUUUGGCAUGGACAUAAAUUGACUUCUGGGAAAAAAAAAUCAACAAUGCUUAAGAGAAAAGUCCAAGAAUUGAUUUCAAAGCAAGAAAAGUAAUACAGAUUAUUUAGAAUUGUAGGCAACUAUCAAAUACAUAUAUGGAUAAACUUGGGCUUAGAUUGAUUUGAUGGAAAAUUAGGAAAUCCAGGACUAAAAAGUUUGAUUAAGAGUGCGUUUGGGAGUAAUUUUCUCGUUUGUUUUAAAAACCAUUCUUAUUAUAUCAAAUUUAUGCAUCAUUUAAUAAUGAUUUUUAGUAUGCUCAACAUGUAAGAAAAGCAACUUUUAUACAAAAAGUAAUCAGAAUUACAGAAACUAUGUGGGCAAAAAGAAAUCAAAUUCACACCAGGAACUCGGGUCAAAUUUUGGUGAAUCAAGGGGCUUUGCUGACCGAACCUGUGGAGGGACACUGCAGUGGCAAGGCCAGCGAUUCCGGCACCGACGAUGAUGAUAUCCUCCUUUCGGACAGGGGGUUGAGCUUCCACCAUCGAUGCAGAAAUGGGUUUAGUUCUGGUUCCAACUCCAGAGUAAGAUUGGCUCUGUGGGAAUGUUUUGGCUUGAAGAUGGUGAAGUGAUUGAGAGAAAGAAGAAGGCGGUGAGAGAGGAGAAUUAAGAAGGAGAGAAGCCAAACUUUUAGCCAUGGAUGCUGAGUGGCGGUUCAAUGGUGGUGCACCUGUAUUGGAUAUGGUUCGUAUGGGAAGAGAGGAGGAGGCAGGUUGGGGCAUGAGAAAUUAGUGGUGCACAUGAAGCGGUUUGGAUCCAUCAGAUUUUUUCCGGCAAAUUUGAAAGGUUGGUUUUUCAUUAUGAAGUAAAUUACUUAAAACCCCUUUCUUUUCCACGUGAAGGUGAAGGGCACCACAAAAUCGCCAGGCCCAUGUAAUCUUAGCAAUCAUGAAAAAUUAUUGGGACAAUUGCUCGGCCAAAAAAUUAAGAUUUGGCGGAUAGAAAUUGUAUAAUUGAUGUGGAGAAUAUAAAAUAUGAAGAGAACAAUAUAUUUUUUAAAAUUAUUUUUUACUAUAAUAUUUGAAAAACUUUUUUAUCUUAAAGUUUUUUUUUAAUAAUUAUUAUGAAAAUUCAUUAUUUUUAAAAAACUAAUUUUUUUAAAAAUAUAUUAUAAAAAUAUAUCAUUUAAAAAAAUAAAUUUCACAUAUUUUUAGUUAUUUUUUAUAUAUAUAAUUUUUAAAAUAUAUAUUUUCUAAGAUGUUUGAUUUUUAAAUAAUAAUAAUUUAUUUAUUCUUUUUUAAAAAAAUAGUGUAUUUUUUUUUCUAAAUCAUUAAAUUAUAUUAAAUUUUAUUGAGGUUUGUAAAAAGAAUAAAAUUUAAAUUAAUGUUUUUCUACUCUUUUUUUAUAGUCAAUAAAUGUCAUUUUUGAAAAGAUAAAAACUCUCUAUCCUUCUUCUCAAUUUUUACACUUAAAUAGUGAAUUUAUAUGGACCAAAACUUAAUUUUUAGACUUAAUUAGGUCCAAAAUAUAAUUAUUCCAAAAUUAUUUAUAUAAAUAUGUUUUAAAAUAGCGACAGUGGAAAAAUAGGCAAUAUUUUGGAGGUGUAAUCUCAUGAGAAAAAUGUUUUUGGCACGUGUUAGAGCGUGAGGCCAAACAAUAUGCAGCAAAUAAAGAGUACGUGAAAUUUGACCUCCCGUGGAAGAAACUAUAAAUUUCCUUGUUCCAAAAAGAUAAAAAGGGGCUAGGUCCUUAUUUUCCCUUCAAGAAGUCAUUAGAAAAUUGGUUCUAAAUGAGUGAAAUUUAUAUAUAGAUCGAUUUGGCCUUCAAAUGAGAUAAAAGGAAAAAAAAAGUCAUAUGUAAAAUAGGAGACAGGGAGAUUAGAUUUGAACCGAUCACCAAAUAUGCCUAAUUAAGGUAUCUUUAGGUCCGCCCUAUAGCUCCUCCAGGCUCAUUGGGUACACCCAUUUCACACAAAACACAGGCUCAACCAUUCAGAAAGCAACACGUACUUUUGGACUCCUUUUAUGGUAACAUCUCUAUAAAUACAUUGUCUUCUGAGCAAUCAAACUAGCUUCCUGUGUUACUCAAGAUGGCAGGAGAAGGUGGUUCUAGUUCUACUGCUGCUACUUCUGUGACCAUGUCACGUAUUGAGGCUGUCCAGACUGUGAUGCCAGCUAAGGUCACUGACCCACGACUAAGCCGAAAAAUCUCAGUCAGGGAUCCCCUAGGUUGUGGGAUUUUUGGUAGGCGGCUUCACACUGUUCUAUACUUCCAAGAGUGUGACCAAAGAGGAUUCAGGGUGGCUGGUUGCUGGGUGGAUUAGGGAAUCACUUGGGAGGGCAUUGGUGGAGCAACCACUGCUUGGUGGACGCCUCAGGAGAGUUGGAGACAGUGAGGGAGAGUUUGAGAUUGUGUCCAAUGACAGUGGUGUAAGGCUCAUGGAGGCAAGGACUUCAAUGGCUUUAUCUGAGUUUCUGGAGUUGAAAGAUUGGGAAGCUGUGGAAGCUGAUCAGCUAGUCUUCUGGAAGGAUAUUGAUGGACAAAAUCCUCAGUUUUAUCCACUAUUUUAUGUUCAGGUGAGCUCUUAUAUACAUAUAUCAUACAUAUGAAACAUUUCAUGUCAAUAUUAUUCAAAUUCUCAAUUAAUUAGAGGCUACACAUACAUUCCGAUAUGUUUUUUCAGGUAACAAACUUUGAGCGUGGUGGAUACUCAAUUGGGAUUAGCUGCAGUCUUCUUCUUGCAGACCCUCUAGGCAUGGCAAGCUUCCUCAAGAGAUGGGCUAGUAUCCACAACACUCUAGUCUCUGAAAAUGAUAAGUCAAAGUUACCAAUAUUCUACCUCCUUAGUCUCAGAAGGCUCAAUGACACUCCCUCUAUUCACAUGAUCAGCUCAAACACAAGCAGAAGCCGAGCCCGGGCUAAGAUCUUUAACAUGGCUGAAAAUAUGAAUUCAGAUGAGAAAAUUUGCAGGACAGUGGCAUCAGUCUGCAAUGAGGAGGCUGAGUGCCAUCUUGGUACAAAAAUGGCUAGUAAGUAUUGGUUGUUCCUGAAAAAACUGUCUGAGGAUAUUAAGAUAGAAGCUUGCUCAAAGGAGGAGAUUAUGCCAUUAUCUAUUAGUGGACUCAGUGAAUUAAGGUGGGAUGUGUAGGGACCCCACCCUCUGAGAACACGUGGCACGCAUCUUGCAGUGACACGUGGCACGCAUCUUACAGUAACACAUGGCACGCAUUGUCAUCCGGGUCACCUUCAUCCGGACCUUCCUAUAAAGCACACAUGGCUUUCUUCCAAGGGAAUAGGCCAAUUCAUGUAUCGUUUUGGAUUGGGUCACCUAUUAAUGAUGGAUUAGUGAUUAUUGCUCCAUCUUCUUCUGAUGAGGGUUGCUCCGGAAUGAAUGUUGUUGUCACAACCUCUGAGGAGGACAAGAUAUGAGAGAGCCUCCCAUGCCUUUGCUUCAAAUACAAGAUGGUUUGGUAUUUGGUGUCUAAGUCAAUGUUUUUCCAAAUGUUAUGUAACCGUAUAUUGGACACAUGGGUAAACUACAAAAAUGUAUUUUUUCAAUACCUAUGGAAAAAAUUACUAUCAAUCAGGUGAUAUUACAUGUAUAUUUUUAGAUCUCGUUAUUUAUAUCGUAAUCUCAUUUAUUUGCACUCUUAUACAUUGAUUUCAUUUGUUUAUAUUAUCGUUCAAUGACUUAAAUUUCAUCAUACAUAAUCAAUAGUUUGAAUCUUUUAGUCGAUAAGUAUCACUAUAAUUCCUUAAUAUUUUCCUUAUAUAUAAUGCACAAUCCUUUGUAUUAAUUCCAUUUAUGAUCCGAUCAUUGUGAUAUAUUGUAUUUAUUAUUUCUUUAGUACUUUUUGCUCGUGAAUUUCUCUUUAUAAAAAAAAUUUACUUAAUUCCAACUUAUUAUGUAAGAGAAAAAAAAAUUACAAAUCUUAUAGGUUUCUAAGUAAUGAUUUCGUGAAAAUUUUGGAUGGUGACUUACCACCUUUAGGUAAAUGCAUGGCCAAUUAAGAUGUAUAGCUUUUAUUUGAAAUUAGGAUCUACUUCUCAGCAAUGCUAAUUGAAUUAUGGGCCUAUCUACUUAAAGUGCAAGUAUCAUUUAUUCGUCAACUUACUUCUCACCUAUUCUAAUAGGAUUAUCCUACGUACCAUACCUAAACCGUAAGCAUCCUCAAGAAGCUACUUCUCUUAAUACUUGUACCUGAGAUGAGUCGAUGAAAAACUCAACUUGGUGAUCAUUAGCAACAGGGAGUGCCCUUUAUUGGGACUUUGGGCCCGCUCCAACCCGAAUCUGAGAUUUGGGCCCCACGACAGCCCAAUAAGAUCCCUGAUCUGGACCCGGGGCCUUUGUCUUGGCCCAUUUUCCUCAAUGACCAAAUAUAUAUAUAUAUAUAUAUAUAUAUAUAUUUAUAUUAGUGAUGAAAUGGUAUGAUGGAAUCCAUUAAUAAAGACAAAUAUUAGGAAUUAUUUAUGAAAUAAAAAAUCAAUGUUAAAUUCUAUACAUUUGAUAUAUUUUUUAAUUUUUUUAAAUAAAAUGCUAAUAAAUUCUAUAUAAAAAGUAAAAAAUUCUUAUUAAAAAUAUUAAUUUAUCUUAUAUGGUUGAAAAUUAUUUUUAAAAAUUAAAAUUUGAAAUUAAAAUUUUUAAAUUUUUUUUAUUUUUAAAAAUCAUUACUUAAAAUUAAAGGUCAUUGUAUUUUAUAUAAAAUUUAUUAUUAUUAUAAUCUAUUUUAAAAAUACUUGAGAAAAUAAAAGGCUAUAAUAUUAAAAAGCAGGAUUUUGAGGCAGCUACCGGUUUCGAUUUGACAAUUGGUUAGCACCUUAAUUCUUAGGUACAAACUCCUCAGAGAGAGUCACAGAGGGAGAGGUCAAGUUCCACCGUUUUCACAGUGAGAGAGAGAGAGAGAUUUGUAGCAGAGUGAGAUUGGAGUUUGGGAUUUUGGUGAAGAAUCGGAGCUUGCACUUUAGCUUCUUGGGCAGGAAAAGGGGGACUUUGGUUGGGUUUGAGAGAGAGAGGGAUAAGGGGGCUUGUAGUUGAAGAAGAAGACGAAAAAUGGAGGGUGUAAACAAUGAGAUUGGGAAUCAGCCGAGAAUGAGAAUAGAGAAUCCGUUUACUCUCAAAGUGGGUCAAGUAUUUACUGGCUUUGGCAUCGGCUGUGGUGUUGGUAUCGGCGUUGGUCGCCCUAUAAAUAUGGGUACACCCCUUCUUUCUCUCCCUCCAAAAUUCUAUUUUCCUCUUUCUAAAUUCAUUUGUUGGAGAUGAAUUCCGGGUGGUUCCCCUUCCCCAAGCCGCCCGGAAAAGAUGAAGCUCAAACCCCUCAUAACCCACUUGUUAAUUUUCAAUGUAUGUUAUUUUCUCUUUCUUUUUAAAUUUUGAGUUCUGUUUCUUGCUGAGAAAGUCUAGCUAGGAAAAUGAAAGAAAUUAGUGUCUUGGAACCCGUGAAAAUGGGGCCAGGACAAUUGUUUGGCUUGGUUGAGGUGGAUUCUAUUCUAAAGAACUUUUGGAAACUAGAAGAAUGGUUAAAUGUGAGGUUCUGAAUUACCUUUUCUUUUAUGUUCCUUGUGUUUCAGCAUCCAAACAGGAGAGUAAGUUGGAAAAUGAGUGGGAAUUUAAAUUUGAAUUCUGUGGGUGGUUGAUAGGUUGUUUGUCACUUGUUUCUUUAGGAAUGAAUGGAGAAAUAGAUUAGGUGUGCUUAAUUUUCAGUGAUUGCUUUACUUUGUAAUGGGUUUGUGAUCAAAUUAAUCUAUGCGCAAUUUUGAGUUAUGGUUAUGUCUAUCUACUUUUGUACAAAUUGAUUGUGAAAAUACCAUAUUCUAAGACAUGUCAUCAUUUACAGAGAUAAAUUACAUGUUAUGGAAUGGCUGUAUGCAGAUGAUGGUUUCAGUAGAACACACUGGAGCAAUGUGCUAUUAGAAAUAUGGCAAUUCAUAUUAAAAAAUGGGCCUUCUGCCUUCAUCCUCUGGAUUCUUUCCCGUUCUUAGACUAUCAGGGUGCAUUUGGUAUGCGAGCAUACAAAUGGAAAUAGGAAUCAAAAUCCCAGUGAGAGUGGGAUUUGGUUUCCAUACUAAUGAAUUUUUUAUUCCUAUUCUCAUUCUAAAAAACAAUUCAAACACAUUAAUGACUGGGAAUGGAAUAAAUUUCUCAUCCCCAUUCUCUAUUCCAAUGUCCCAAACAUGACCUCAGUGAAUAGUAGAGGUAAAUCUUUGGUCUUAUAAGUUUAAAUUGCAUAAUCCAUAAUGUUUCUUUACUCACUAACUGAUCUCAGCCAAGGUUUGUAGCGUGCCUUUCCUAGACUCUUGGCUCUCAAGAAUUUGGCUUCAAUAUAUGGAUGGUUAACAUCGGGUUGCUAGCAGGUCCUAACACAUUGUCAAAGUGUGAUGAUAGAUCAUAUGCCAAUCCUUGCACUGUUCGGUAUAAGACUUUAGGUUCUAUUAUUCAUCUAACAUGGUUAGUAAUUUUAACUUUCAAGUGUUGCCUAUGCAUUAUUAACUAUCUGAUGGAAAAUUUCCUUGGCCCUUGAAAGCAAAGUCAACAAAUUUUUUUUGUAUCAACUUCUGUCUUGCAGUGAAAUUUUGUUUGCAGGUGAGUUAUGGGUGAAUGCCAACACCAAGCAGAUAUAAAGUGUUGGCUGAAUUAAGUUAAAUUAGGCCAGCUUAGGGUUUUGAACACUUAGGAUUUCUAACAGCCCAACUGGAUUGAGUAUUUCAGGGCAGGUUGAGGAACAGAAUAUAUCAUAGCAAAAUUGUAUUUCUCAUUGUCAUCUAAAUUGAAUUUUGUUUCAUUGCCAGUAUGCCACUUCAUGAUUAUUCUAUUACAUACUAUUGAAUCUGUUAAUCCCAUUUGGCUUCCAUUCUUCUGCAUUUUGAGGUCAAAAACCUUUCAAUGUUUAUUUAAUUUUAGACUUCUCCUAACAAUCCAAAAGUAUUGAUAGAUCUCUUCUUGUUAUGAUCAAAUAACAAAGAAAAUAGGGAGUAAAAGUUUCUUCAUUUGAUGAAUAUUAGCAUGAUUCAUGACAAUCUCCCCAUGAUGGGGAUUAAAUGGGCAUCUGGUGACUCUGCUUCUUUUAUGUUUUUUAUGAAUAAAAAAUUUACUACUAUUUUUUUUAACCAUCAGUCUUAAUUUAAUCUGUAUUUCAGGUGCGAUACCAGUAGUGAACCAAGUUAUGGGUGCCACCAGAGGUGCAACUGAUGCUUUUUCUGGUGUUGGUAGACAUGUUAAUGACGCUGUAAGUCAAAUCAUUGUGUUUUCAGUCAUUUGGUAUGUACUCGUAUUUUAUUCUGAUUACCUGAUGAUGUAUCCUCNNNNNNNNNNNNNNNNNNNNNNNNNNNNNNNNNNNNNNNNNNNNNNNNNNNNNNNNNNNNNNNNNNNNNNNNNNNNNNNNNNNNNNNNNNNNNNNNNNNNUCCUCUGGAUCUUUACCCGUCGUAGACUAUCAGGGUGCAUUUGGUAUGCGAGCAUACAAAUGGAAAUAGGAAUCAAAAUCCCAGUGAGAGUGGAUUUGGUUUCCAUACUAAUGAAUUUUUUAUUCCUAUUCUCAUUCUAAAAAACAAUUCAAACACAUUAAUGACUGGGAAUGGAAUAAAUUUCUUCAUCCCCAUUCUCUAUUCCAAUGUCCCAAACAUGACCUCAGUGAAUAGUAGAGGUAAAUCUUUGGUCUUAUAAAUUUAAAUUGCAUAAUCCAUAAUGUUUCUUUACUCACUAACUGAUCUCAGCCAAGGUUUGUAGUGUGCCUUUCCUAGACUCUUGGCUCUCAAGAAUUUGGCUUCAAUAUAUGGAUGGUUAACAUCGGGUUGCUAGCAGGUCCUAACACAUUGUCAAAGUGUGAUGAUAGAUCAUAUGCCAAUCCUUGCACUGUUCGGUAUAAGACUUUAGGUUCUAUUAUUCAUCUAACAUGGUUAGUAUUAACUUUCAAGUGUUGCCUAUACAUUAUUAACUAUCUGAUGGAAAAUUUCCUUGGCCCUUGAAAGCAAAGUCAACAAAUUUUUUUUGUAUCAACUUCUGUCUUGCAGUGAAAUUUUGUUUGCAGGUGAGUUAUGGGUGAAUGCCAACACCAAGCAGAUAUAAAGUGUUGGCUGAAUUAAGUUAAAUUAGGCCAGCUUAGGGUUUUGAACACUUAGGAUUUCUAACAGCCCAACUGGAUUGAGUAUUUCAGGGCAGGUUGAGGAACAGAAUAUAUCAUAGCAAAAUUGUAUUUUGUUUCAUUGCCAGUAUGCCACUUCAUGAUUAUUCUAUUACAUACUAUUGAAUCUGUUAAUCCCAUUUGGCUUCCAUUCUUCUGCAUUUUGAGGUCAAUAACCUUUCAAUGUUUAUUUAAUUUUAGACUUCUCCUAACAAUCCAAAAGUAUUGAUAGAUCUCUUCUUGUUAUGAUUAAAUAACAAAGAAAAUAGGGAGUAAAAGUUUCUUCAUUUGAUGAAUAUUAGCAUGAUUCAUGACAAUCUCCCCAUGAUGGGGAUUAAAUGGGCAUCUGGUGACUCUGCUUCUUUUAUGUUUUUUAUGAAUAAAAAAUUUACUACUAUUUUUUUUAACCAUCAGUCUUAAUUUAAUCUGUAUUUCAGGUGCGAUACCAGUAGUGAACCAAGUUAUGGGUGCCACCAGAGGUGCAACUGAUGCUUUUUCUGGUGUUGGUAGACAUGUUAAUGACGCUGUAAGUCAAAUCAUUGUGUUUUCAGUCAUUUGGUAUGUACUCAUAUUUUAUUCUGAUUACCUGAUGAUGUAUCCUCUCCUUCUCUUAUCUCCCAUUUCUCAUUUUUUUAGUUGAGGAAGUUAGGAGCUAAGAACAUUGAAGCUGGCAUCGGAUGUGGGGUUGGUUUUGGCCAUGGUUUUGGAGUUGGUACGUUCUUUGCUAUAUCUCAUGAGUGAAGAAGCCAUUACCAAAUAUCUCUUUAGAUUUGUUAAGUUCAUUAAUAUACUAAUGGGAUGGUUAUUACAUAAGUAAUUUGUCUAAACUUAAUAGUAUCUAGCAUUUUCAGACUAGUGCAUUUGCUAUAUUUGGGGGCUGGUAGUCAAAGUUUUGGAUUUUCCAUGGGAAAUUUUUAAUACAUUUCACCUAAUUGAUUAGUGUAAUUCCUUUAUCUAUUGCAUUCAUGUGGAAGAAAUUAUAAACUAGAAUGCAUGUUUCACGAGAUAGAGGAAAAAUUGAAAUCAACCAAUCUUUCAUGUGGUUGAAGUUCAUGAACGAUUAAGGAAAGGAAAGAUAUAAUGGAAAAGACAGGAAAUGUGGGUUUGUAACUCCAUCUCCAGUGGUGUAGAGACACAAUUUUUAAAAACUAUACCUUCAACAAACUGUAAAGAGGAUUUGCAUGAGGGCCUGUAGUCUGACCAUCCAGUUCAACCAGUCAAACCAUGAUAUCAGCAUGAUACAAUACAUGACAAAUUGAUUUUUAUGCUUUUUGGUUGUUGUGAUCCUCAUGGAUGAUAUUAAUUUUGGGAUCAAGACAUGAUUUAAAGGCUAUGCAUAUCUCUGGUUGCUGUAGAUUACAGUAAGGCAAAAUAUUUGUGGCCAUGCUCUGUUUCUUCUGCUGUUUGUCUUAAAGUACAUUGUCAAGCUGGUAGAAAAUGUUACUAACUUGAUGCCCAACAAACCCCAUAGAAAUGCAUCUCAUAAUCCAGUUAGUCUAUACUUGACUAAAAUCAACUUCUUCUGUAUCUUUAUAUUAAAGUCCAUCAUAAACUGUCACAUGCUUUUUUCAUAUAUUUCCUAAAUAUAUGCCUGCUAUGUUCAGACUUUGAAGUAGCAGAAUUUAUUUAUUUAUUAAGAAUAUGCCUCAAUCAAUUGGCUAUUACUUUUAUUUGAAAUAUAGCAAAAAAUUAUCGAUUUGUAAUGUUGGGUUAUUCUUUCAUUUUUCCAUCUUAGACUGCUGAAGUAUUGAUAUUACAUUGCAGGGCUUGCUGUGAAGCCUGGUGUAGUUCAAAAAAUUCAAUAUUGUAUUGUUGUAUGUAUAAUUUUUGUCAGUCAUAUUUGUGCUGUCUACUAUUGUUUCACACCAUGUAUCUAAAUUUCAACUUUAAAUAUCCAGCAAACAACAACAAAGAUGAUGAUGAAGUUCGGAAUACUUCCCAAUAUACCCAUUGGUAAAGACAUCAUUCCACCAUCUCUGUCAUCCACUGUUCAAGGUAUCAUUCCGCCAUCUUUGUCAUCCACUGGACAAGGUAUCCUUUCACCAUCUCUGCAAAGUGGCAUGAGCAUGACCAAUGAGCCCUCCAGCCAAAACACGACGGGAAGUGUCCUGCAGUUGGCAACAAAACUAGUAGAACAAACCUCUUAUGGCCUGGCUGGGGAUGCAACUUCGAACACAGGUUCUACUUCUGGAGCUUCUACAUCAAAAAGUUCACAGGGAACAUCCUUGGUUAGUCAAACCGGGAAGGUUGUCACUAAUAUUCUGCACGAUCUGACUUCAACAGAGGGGGGCAAUGAAGUAAAUGAACUGGUAUGUAACAGAGUAGGAUAUUGGAUCAUCUUUCAGUUUGAAUCUUGUUUAUUUGGAAUUUUUUGCCGUUAUACUUUUUUAAGUGAGAUUUUUAGUGUUUUACUUCAUAUCUUGCUAUAGAUAUGGAAUUAUUCUAUGGGUUGGUUUAAAUUUGUGAUAGCCAGAUUAAUAGAUAUCUAUAUUUUUUAAACAAAAAUAAAUUUAUUAAAGAAUAUAUGAUUCAUUUUUGCCAUUUAAUGUUUUUCAUGGAUCUGAUUUUACUCUAUUCAGAUUGAAUGUAUUGUUCCUGUAUUCAGAAUUUCUCAUUUACAUAUUAGCCAGUGCUUUGGAUGUACUCAAAGUGAGCUGCAUAUUUCAUGAACAACCUAAAAUAACACUGGACCCACAUCACCUUGCAAAAUUUCUCUUCUUUUUAUUUUUUAUUUUUUUAUUGCUUCGUGUUUUGGUCCUUAAUAUCAGUGACAUCAUAAAGCAAUGCCAUAAACAUAAUGCUUGAUGUUUUUGUUUUUAAGAUAUUAUCUUGUGCUGAUGUAGGAUCAAGUUCUAAUCCUUGGAUUUUAUGUUUUUAGGCUGAGCGCUUGAGAUCAGAAAACAACAUGCUUCACGUGGUAAUGUCUUUUAUACCAAUAUUCAUGUGUGUUUUCAUGAGAUGAAAUAUUGAAAAGAAAACUAUAUUUAUAAACCUCAAUAAUUUUAGAGCAGUGUUCAUGAGUCAAAGGAGAGCCCUGACUGAUGGAAUUUUCUUUGUAGACUAUCAAAUCCCACUGCAGUGUUAUCUUAUCACCCAAGGAAGGUGUUAAGAGUCUCACCAGGAAAUUGUUAGAUGUGUUUUUUAGUUCGUCCACCAUAUGUUGAAUUUAAUGUGUUGAAAUGGUCCAACUAAUUGCAAUUUUCUGUGCAUUUUCAGAUUUUGAAUCACGAGCAAAUCAUUCAGGAGCUUAAGGAGGAAAACGAGAAGCUUCGCCAGGUGCUGGUGGAAGAUCUGAACAUACCACCCUGCAAGCUCCAAACCAGUAACUCAAGUAGAUAUACAUCACCAUCUGAAGAUUGUUCCAGUUACUCAAAUAGACAGAGAUCACCAUGUGAAGAUUGUUUUGAUUGCCGCAGAAAAGAAAGAAAAAGAUAGAAGAAAAUUUGUGUGCUACUUCAGAAGAGACUCAGAAUUCAAGCAAUUGACUACAAAGAACUUAACUGAUCCUUGUCUGGUCCGGGGUUUGAAGAUUUGGUUUGGUAUUACCAACCCAGCAGUGCAGAAUCAUCCCCAGGAGUGUGCAAGGAAAAUAGGGUAGUAGGAAUUCAAUACCUGAAAGACAAGACCAAACACUUGGGUAUGAACCAAUUGAAGGGUGAUUGAUGUAGGUGCAUAAGGUAAUAAUACAACUUGCCCUUUUUUUUAGAUUUCUUUGUUUCCUUGUUUUAUGUAAACUAAAUAUUUUUUGCUUCACCCCAUCAUUAAAACAAAGUGCAUGUACUUUCAGCUUCCUGCAACUGUUAUUUGUUCCAAUUGUUGCUGAUGCCCAUCAGCUCCUGCCUUCUGCAGGCCAUAUUUUGGAUCUGUUUAGUGUUUCCCACAUUCCACAGUUACUGGAAUGGGCUUCUGGAGAUUCUUGACUGGUUUGCUUGUUCAAAGCAGGAAAUCUCUGCCAUCCAAGUCAAUUCCUUUUACAAUGUUAUGGUACUUUCACCCCCUACUACAACAUUAAAUCAAGAUGCCCACAAAGAGAGACAGCCCCUAAUAAUUGAGCAUACUUAUCCAUUUCUACAUGUUAGGGGUAGGCCCAAUUCUUUUGGUAUUCUUGGCCCAUGUAAUUUGUCAUUAUGCAACUCAUCUUCCUCAGUAAUGGUUAAAUCAGUCUAGUCAGGUGAUUAAUGGAGACACCAAGAGGCCCGCAUAUUUCUUAUCAGAGUAAAUUGUAAGUGUGCCCUCAAGAGACAUCCGGGCAGUUUUUGUUAUCAAGAGAGACUAGGAGAUGUGCUUUCUCUACUGGUGGUUGAGAGGAACUCAAACUAGAAAUAGCAUGAUUGAUUUGAAACUUGAAACAAAGGGUGGAGAAGAAGAAAGUGGUGAGGGAGUGGGCAAAGUAGGGAGUUGCAGAGAGGCUUUUUCAAAGACUGCUUUGGUAUCAUGUUUCUCGUUAAAAAGGGUUUGAUUUUUUCUGAUUGCCACUUUUGAAUUGGGGGAAUCCAAUGCUUUUCCCACAAAGGACACUCUUUAGUUUUUUUGGGGGAGUGGGAAUCCAAUGUCUUUUCCACCCAAAUCAACACCUUCUCCAAAAUUCAUGCACUUAAUUCUCCAUCUCAAACUCAUUAUUCAGUCAAAUGUUACUUUGUGAACCUCAAACAUCAAAGCACAACAAUUAUUAGCAUUUAGAGUGAAUUUCCACCUUUUUGUUAAUAUUCUCCCAAAAUUGUAAGAACCCGUCUGUGGUUUUUGAAAAAAUAUCCACCUUUGUAUUAAUUCUGAUGGAGGAGAAUUAGAAGAACAAAUAAAAAACAAAAAAAAUAUACUUAGUGGUUCUUUAAUCAUGGUAUGCUAGUCCUAGUUUAUUGAAUAUCUUGAGAGAAAGGAAAAGGAGAAUGUGAUGUUUGCUAGUAUGCAUAUAUUUUAUUGCAAGGCNNNNNNNNNNNNNNNNNNNNNNNNNNNNNNNNNNNNNNNNNNNNNNNNNNNNNNNNNNNNNNNNNNNNNNNNNNNNNNNNNNNNNNNNNNNNNNNNNNNNAGAGUAAAUUGUAAGUGUGCCCUCAAGAGACAUCCGGGCAGUUUUUGUUAUCAAGAGAGACUAGGAGAUGUGCUUUCUCUACUGGUGGUUGAGAGGAACUCAAACUAGAAAUAGCAUGAUUGAUUUGAAACUUGAAACAAAGGGUGGAGAAGAAGAAAGUGGUGAGGGAGUGGGCAAAGUAGGGAGUUGCAGAGAGGCUUUUUCAAAGACUGCUUUGGUAUCAUGUUUCUCGUUAAAAAGGGUUUGAUUUUUUCUGAUUGCCACUUUUGAAUUGGGGGAAUCCAAUGCUUUUCCCACAAAGGACAGCCUUUAGUUUUUUCGGGGGAGUGGGAAUCCAAUGUCUUUUCCACCCAAAUCAACACCUUCUCCAAAAUUCAUGCACUUAAUUCUCCAUCUCAAACUCAUUAUUCAGUCAAAUGUUACUUUGUGAACCUCAAACAUCAAAGCACAACAAUUAUUAGCAUUUAGAGUGAAUUUCCACCUUUUUGUUAAUAUUCUCCCAAAAUUGUAAGAACCCGUCUGUGGUUUUUGAAAAAAUAUCCACCUUUGUAUUAAUUCUGAUGGAGGAGAAUUAGAAGAACAAAUAAAAAACAAAAAAAAAAUACUUAGUGGUUCUUUAAUCAUGGUAUGCUAGUCCUAGUUUAUUGAAUAUCUUGAGAGAAAGGAAAAGGAGAAUGUGAUGUUUGCUAGUGUGCAUAUAUUUUAUUGCAAGGCAAAAGGCAGAAUCUCAAAGUUAAAAGAAAGGCAAAGGUGAAAAGAAGGAAUGGGAAAUUGGAGAAUAAUGAAAAGAAUUGUGUGGGGAGACAAACACACCAUGUGCACAUCCCUAUCAUCCUCAUGUAGCUUUGUCUCAACUCAGCCCCACCACCACAACCCACCAACCAUCCUCUCCUUUUAAGCCUCUUCCUCCCUUCCACGCACCUCCAAAAGGACACCUAUUCCCCCAUUUCCAAAAGCUAUCUCACCACUCACCAGUGAUCCCCACCCCCCCUUUCCUCCUCAUAAUUCUACCUCCUCCAGCUGUCACCUAACCUUUUCUUCUCUCUUCCAUUCUCCCCUCCCAUCUACCCCCCUCCCCCCUCCCCUCCAAUCACCCAACUACCCUUUGUAAUCAUUUUUCUUUUUCUUCUGAGUUUGGAAAGAAUUUACAUUUAUCAGCAUUUUAAAUCUGAUUGGCAUGAGCUGAGACUUUUUGAAUCUGAUACAAUGCUGUUACAGCUCUCCUUAUCAUUAUUGUUAUUACAAUUUUGAGUUGAUUAUGAGUGGGAGUUGAGUCAAGUCAAAGCCCCACUACUUCUGAAAUAUAUGGUAAUGUGAACAAAAUAAACGAGUUGGGACACAAACAAGAAUCACGAGGUCGUUCUUAUUCAUCUAAAGUCAAAAUGCUACACAAUGUAACAUCCGAAUAAAAUCUACCAACCAUCCUCACAAAUCACAAAUGGGGUUCCAAAAAUCACAAGAAAACAAAAGAUAAAAAGAAAAAAAAGAAAAGAAUACGCAAAUAAUUAUCUUAAUCUACAUGGAAGUUGGAACUAAGUAAAGUUUGAAAAUCAAUGACCAUGUGUCUAAACAAGCAGCGCUGCAACUCCCCCCAACAAUGCCACCAACCCCAUGCUGCUCCCAUGCACAAACCCACCACUGGGCGGCGGCGUGGGUGAAGGAGGAGGUGAUGAACCAGGCCCGCCGGCUGGAGGAGGAGAUGUUGCAGGCGGCGAAGCUGUAGACGGGCCGGGUGAUCCCUCCGACGGAGGAGGCGCAGGUGGUGAGAUAGCAGUUGGUGAGCUAGCCGGGCUUGGGCUCAUUGAAGGAGUGGCCGCUGGUGGAGGUGACGAUACCGGCGAGGUAGUCGGGGAUGGCGAAAUUGAGGUAGUCGGGGAUGGCGAAAUUGAGGUAGUCGGGGAUGGCGAAAUUGAGGUCGGUGGGGUUGCUGGCGUGGCCACGCUUGGUGGUGGGGUUGCCAUAGUUGUUGGGGGAGUGGCGGUGGGGGGCGUUGCGGUGGAGGGGGGAGACGCUGGAGAGGUGGAGGGGGACUGAGCGAGGGAGGAUGCGGCGAAGGUCAGGGAGAGGGCGAGGACGAGCAUGGCACGUACCACAGCCAUGACUCGAGAGCUGACCGAUGAGGUUGGAGCCUUGGAGCCUGGAAGGGUUUUUGAGAGUGUGCGCCUCUUACGGUUGAUGACUUGAUAUAUAGAGGCAUGGACCCCCUAGAACUUGAGAUUUUUCUCACUAUUCUCACACCCAGUUGCAUCAACCCUUCAUCCAACUUCAUCACAUCAACCAACAUACCAAUCUUUUAAAGAUAUUUUCAUUUUACCCUUGUGAAUUACCAUUUUAAUUCCAAGAAGUUACCCUCAU